AUGGACAUCGAGGGAAUGGAAUUCCUACUGGAUGCGGUCGACAGGUUCCCCGUGUGGGAGGAGUUUGCCGACAACCUUGACCACAUAGAUCCAGUCCCGAUGAUGUACCUUCUGGAUAAUGGGGCUGCUAAUCAGGAUAUUCGCCAGGGGGAUGUUGAUUCCGGGAUAACUGAGAUGGUGUGCGAUGGUGUGCUCACCGACGCUCAGGUAGGUGGCCAGCGUAGGCGUGAUGAAUCUCCGACGAGGUCUGCCCAGUCGACGGGAAGAGUAAAUCCGCAGGCCCCCGGCUGGACUAAAAGGCUUCGUCUCGGGAGUGUGCCACCGGACCGUGUGCCCUGUCCUUCAAGGAUGAGCGCCCUGGAGCUAUCAAUGCGUAAAUACGCUGAGCAACCUGACAAGAAUGUGGUCCGACCUGAGCUAGGUCUUAGUUUUGAUUCACUGGGCGAGGCGUAUGAUUUCUACAACUUGUAUUCUUGGGAAAUCGGUUUUGGGAUAAGAUAUGGAAAAAGCAGGCUGAACGCCGAGAGAACCAAAAGCAUACAGGAGAUAGUUUGUGGUUGUUCGGGGGAAACCAGACGCUGA
rnacentral:rRNA from 1 species